rnacentral:rRNA from 1 species
GACAGAGGGUGCGAACGUUGUUCGGAAUUACUGGGCGUAAAGCGCAUGUAGGCGGCAGCGCAAGUCGGGCGUGAAAUCCCACGGCUCAACCGUGGAAGUGCACUCGAAACUGCGCAGCUAGAGUCCUGGAGAGGAAGGUGGAAUGCUUGGUGUAGAGGUGAAAUUCGUAGAUAUUGGGAAGAACACCAGUGGCGAAGGCGGCUAACUGGUCCAGAUCUGACGCUGAGGUGCGAAAGCGUGGGGAGCAAACAGG